CGGGCUGUGGCGCAGUUUGGUAGCGGCACUUGACUGGGGGUCAAGUGGUCGCAGGUUCAAAUCCUGUCAGCCCGA
rnacentral:tRNA from 1 species